rnacentral:rRNA from 1 species
CUUAAGGCGAUCGAGAGAACUGUGGUUAAGGAACUCGGCAAAAUACCCCCGUAACUUCGGGAGAAGGGGGACCACGUCUGGUGACGAUCUUCACGAUCCGAGCUGGGUGUGGUCGCAGAGACCAGAGAGAAGCGACUGUUUACUAAAAACACAGGUCCGUGCGAAGUCGUAAGACGAUGUAUACGGACUGACGCCUGCCCGGUGCUGGAAGGUUAAGAGGACCGGUUAAUCACUUCGGUGGUGAAGCUGAGAAUUUAAGCCCCAGUAAACGGCGGUGGUAACUAUAACCAUCCUAAGGUAGCGAAAUUCCUUGUCGGGUAAGUUCCGACCUGCACGAAUGGCGUAACGACUUCUCUGCUGUCUCAACCACAGACUCGGCGAAAUUGCAGUACGAGUAAAGAUGCUCGUUACGCGCGGCAGGACGAAAAGACCCCGGGACCUUCACUAUAGUUUGGUAUUGGUGUUCGGUUCGGUUUGUGUAGGAUAGGUGGGAGACUGUGAAACCCGCACGCCAGUGUGGGUGGAGUCGUUGUUGAAAUACCACUCUGAUCGUAUUGGAUACCUCAACCUCGGACCAUGAUCUGGUUCAGGGACAGUGCCUGAUGGGUAGUUUAACUGGGGCGGUUGCCUCCCAAAAUGUAACGGAGGCGCCCAAAGGUUCCCUCAGCCUGGUUGGCAAUCAGGUGUUGAGUGUAAGUGCACAAGGGAGCUUGACUGUGAGACGGACAUGUCGAGCAGGGACGAAAGUCGGGACUAGUGAUCCGGCACCGGCAAGUGGAAGCGGUGUCGCUCAACGGAUAAAAGGUACCCCGGGGAUAACAGGCUGAUCUUCCCCAAGAGUCCAUAUCGACGGGAUGGUUUGGCACCUCGAUGUCGGCUCGUCGCAUCCUGGGGCUGGAGUAGGUCCCAAGGGUUGGGCUGUUCGCCCAUUAAAGCGGCACGCGAGCUGGGUUUAGAACGUCGUGAGACAGUUCGGUCUCUAUCCGCCGCGCGCGUAAGAAACUUGAGGAAACCUGUCCCUAGUACGAGAGGACCGGGACGGACGAACCUCUGGUGUGCCAGUUGUUCCACCAGGAGCACUGCUGGUUAGCUACGUUCGGAAGGGAUAACCGCUGAAAGCAUCUAAGCGGGAAGCCUGUUCCAAGAUGAGGUUUCUCACCACCAUCGCGUGGUUAAGGCCCCCCACAGACCAUGGGGUUGAUAGGCCAGAACUGGAAGCCCAGCAAUGGGUGCAGGUGACUGGUACUAAUCGGCCGAGGACUC